rnacentral:rRNA from 1 species
UGGAGCAUGUGGUUUAAUUCGACGCAACGCGAAGAACCUUACCUGGGCUCGAACGGCUUCGGCAAGCCGGUAGAAAUACUGGCCCUCCAGCAAUGGAUCGGAGUCGAGGUGCUGCAUGGCUGUCGUCAGCUCGUGUCGUGAGAUGCUGGGUUAAGUCCCGCAACGAGCGCAACCCUUGUCCUGUGUUGCCAUCAUUAAGUUGGGCACUCUCAGGAGACCGCCAGCGAUAAGCUGGAGGAAGGUGGGGAUGACGUCAAGUCAUCAUGGCCUUUAUGUCCAGGGCUACACACGUGCUACAAUGACCGGUACAAUACGACGCCAACCCGCGAGGGGGAGCAAAUCGUAAAAAACCGGCCUCAGUUCGGAUUGCAGGCUGCAACUCGCCUGCAUGAAGCUGGAAUCGCUAGUAAUGGCAGAUCAGCAUGCUCGCCGUUCCGAAUACGUUCCGGCCUU